CUUCUCACUACUGCACUUGACUAGUCUUUU
rnacentral:piRNA from 3 species